AUGGUACGGCAAUGGGUUACUGAGCUGGGAGCUGAGGAAGCAAUUCCUUCUCGGCCCUGCGCGAGCUCUUUGGAGAAGUGGCUGCCGACUGUAAUUAACCUUGACCCCACACGGAUCUCCUUGCCUCUCAUCAGAGGAACGAUCGCUCCCCUGUGAUCUCCGAGUGGGGGCAAGACUGCAAACUUCUGCAGUGACUCGUAGCACCCGUCACGAAUCCAUCAUCAAGAAGCACAGAGUCCUUGAUCCCUUCCUGCAGGGGGGGCAACUUAACACCUCACCCGGUUUCCCAAGCCCGGGGCUCCAGCGGUGAAAAAUAAAGCAGGGUGCUGUUAUGUAAAAGCUGCAGCGAAUUCUCGUUUCUUUCCUGACACAAAAAAUAGGUUGGCAAGGUCAUCGUUCU
rnacentral:lncRNA from 1 species